rnacentral:rRNA from 1 species
AACGAACGCUGGCGGCAUGCCUAACACAUGCAAGUCGAACGAGACCUUCGGGUCUAGUGGCGCACGGGUGCGUAACGCGUGGGAAUCUACCCUUGGGUUCGGAAUAACAGUUAGAAAUGACUGCUAAUACCGGAUGAUGACGUAAGUCCAAAGAUUUAUCGCCCAAGGAUGAGCCCGCGUAAGAUUAGCUUGUUGGUGGGGUAAUGGCCUACCAAGGCGACGAUCUUUAGCUGGUCUGAGAGGAUGAUCAGCCACACUGGGACUGAGACACGGCCCAGACUCCUACGGGAGGCAGCAGUGGGGAAUAUUGGACAAUGGGCGAAAGCCUGAUCCAGCAAUGCCGCGUGAGUGAUGAAGGCCUUAGGGUUGUAAAGCUCUUUUACCAGGGAUGAUAAUGACAGUACCUGGAGGAAUAAGCCCCGGCUAACUUCGUGCCAGCCGCCGCGGUAA